rnacentral:rRNA from 1 species
GCUCAGAACGAACGCUGGCGGCGUGCCUAACACAUGCAAGUCGAACGGAGGUAGCAAUACCUUAGUGGCGCACGGGUGAGUAAUGCAUGGGAAUCUGCCCUAUGGUGUGGGAUAACUACGGGAAACUGUAGCUAAUACCGCAUAAGCAAAAGCCGAAAGGUUUUUGGAAAAGCCGGGACCGCAAGGCCGGUUGCCAAAGGAUGAGCCCAUGUCCCAUUAGCUUGUUGGCGGGGUAACGGCCCACCAAGGCGAAGAUGGGUAGCUGGUCUGAGAGGACGAUCAGCCACACUGGAACUGAGACACGGUCCAGACUCCUACGGGAGGCAGCAGUGGGGAAUAUUGCGCAAUGGGGGAAACCCUGACGCAGCAACGCCGCGUGAGUGAUGAAGGCCUUCGGGUUGUAAAGCUCUUUCGGCUGGGAAGAAGGGUGUGGGAGUUAAUAAGUCUCACAUUUGAUGGUACCAGAGUAAGAAGCACCGGCUAACUUCGUGCCAGCAGCCGCGGUAAUACGAAGGGUGCAAGCGUUGUUCGGAAUUACUGGGCGUAAAGGGUUCGUAGGCGGGAAGACAAGUCAAGUGUGAAAUCCCCAGGCUCAACCUGGGACGUGCAUUUGAGACUGUUUUUCUUGAGUUUUAGAGAGGGUGGUGGAAUUGCUGGUGUAGGAGU